GUCAUGAUUGUUGAUGAUGUAUUUUUUAAUAAAGAAAAAAAAAAAAAAAGGCACUGCGUUCAGGUCGCAGUCUCCUCUGGAGGCGUGGGUUCGAAUCCCACUUCUGACA
rnacentral:tRNA from 1 species